rnacentral:rRNA from 1 species
GUAGGGGGCAAGCGUUAUCCGGAAUUACUGGGUGUAAAGGGAGCGUAGGCGGCAUGGUAAGCCAGAUGUGAAAGCCUUGGGCUUAACCCGAGGAUUGCAUUUGGAACUAUCAAGCUAGAGUACAGGAGAGGAAAGCGGAAUUCCUAGUGUAGCGGUGAAAUGCGUAGAUAUUAGGAAGAACACCAGUGGCGAAGGCGGCUUUCUGGACGGUAACUGACGCUGAGGCUCGAAAGCGUGGGGAGCAAACAGGAUUAGAUACCCUGGUAGUCCACGCCGUAAACGAUGAGUGCUAGGUGUCGGGGAGGAAUCCUCGGUGCCGCAGCUAACGCAAUAAGCACUCCACCUGGGGAGUACGACCGCAAGGUUG